rnacentral:rRNA from 1 species
UAGUCCACGCCGUAAACGAUGAGUGCUAGAUAUCGGAAAUUAAACUUUCGGUUUCGUAGCUAACGCAUUAAGCACUCCGCCAGGGGACUACGGUCGCAAGAUUAAAACUCAAAGGAAUUGACGGGGACCCGCACAAGCGGUGGAGCAUGUGGUUUAAUUCGAGGCAACGCGAAGAACCUUACCAGACCUUGACACGCCUCUCGCGGAUUUCAGAGAUGAUUUCCUUCAGUUCGGCUGGAGAGUGCACAGGUGCUGCAUGGCUGUCGUCAGCUCGUGUCGUGAGAUGUUGGGUUAAGUCCCGCAACGAGCGCAACCCUCAUUUUUAGUUACCAUCAUUUAGUUGGGUACUCUAGAGAAACUGCCGGGGUCAACCCGGGAGGAAGGUGGGGAUGACGUCAAGUCUUCAUGGCCCUUAUGGUCUGGGCUACACACGUGCUACAAUGGCAAAUACAAUGAGCAGCGAUCCCGCGAGGGUCAGCUAANCUCCAAAAUUUGACUCAGUUCGGAUCGGACU